CGAGUGGCGAACGGGUGAGUAACACGUGGGUGAUCUGCCCUGCACUCUGGGAUAAGCCUGGGAAACUGGGUCUAAUACCGGAUAGGACCAUGCUUUAGUGUGUGUGGUGGAAAGUUUUUUCGGUGUAGGAUGAGCCCGCGGCCUAUCAGCUUGUUGGUGGGGCAAUGGCCUACCAAGGCGGCGACGGGUAGCCGGACUGAGAGGUUGGUCGGCCACAUUGGGACUGAGAUACGGCCCAG
rnacentral:rRNA from 1 species